rnacentral:lncRNA from 1 species
UGGUUUUCUCAAAUAUCAAUAUAGUAUAUUUAUGUGUUUUAAUUUUUUUGUUAUUGUAUCCUUACAUUAUUUUUUAUUUUUUCAAAUUUUUGUAGUGGUGUUUUGUUAUGAACCUAACAAUUUAGUUCUCUACUCAUAUAUCUUAUAGAAAAAUCUUAUUUGUUAUUAACGUACUCGUACCUUGAUUAAUGGUGAAAGUUGAUGUGAUGAAAUUUCUGCAGAAU